rnacentral:rRNA from 1 species
AUUCCUACGGGAGGCAGCAGUUAGGAAUCUUCGGCAAUGGGCGAAAGCCUGACCGAGCGAUACCGCUUGAAGGACGAAGCCCCUCGGGGUGUAAACUUCUGAACUCGGGACGAUGGGGACGGUACCGAGGUAAUAGCACCGGCUAACUCCGUGCCAGCAGCCGCGGUAAUACGGAGGGUGCGAGCGUUACCCGGAUUUACUGGGCGUAAAGGGCGUGUAGGCGGUCCCUCAAGUCCGAUGCUAAAGACCGGGGCUCAACCCCGGGGGUGCGUUGGAUACUGUCGGGCUAGACGGUCGGAGGGGGCAGCGGAAUUUCCGGAGUAGCGGUGAAAUGCGCAGAUACCGGAAGGAACGCCGAUAGCGAAGGCAGCUGCCUGGACGACUUGUGACGCUGAGGCGCGAAAGCGUGGGGAGCAAACCGGAUUAGAUACCCGGGUAGUCCAGGCCCUAAACGAUGAGUGCUGGGUGUCCGGCUCCUGCCGGGUGCCGUAGCUAACGCGUUAAGCACUCCGCCUGGGAAGUACGCACGCAAGUGUGAAACUCAAAGGAAUUGACGGAAU